UGAGAGAGUAGAAGAGCUAAGUCUUAGCCUU
rnacentral:piRNA from 1 species